GACGAACGCUGGCGGCGUGCUUAACACAUGCAAGUCGAACGGUGAAGGGAAGCUUGCUUCCCGGAUCAGUGGCGAACGGUGAGUAACACGUGGGCAAUCUGCCCCAGACUUUGGGAUAACUACUCGAAAGAGUAGCUAAUACCGAAUAUUCAGCCUUGCAGGCAUCUGCGAGGCUGGAAAGUUUCUCGGUCUGGGAUGAGCCCGCGGCCUAUCAGCUAGUUGGUGAGGUAAUGGCUCACCAAGGCGACGACGGGUAGCCGGCCUGAGAGGGCGACCGGCCACACUGGGACUGAGACACGGCCCAGACUCCUACGGGAGGCAGCAGUGGGGAAUAUUGCGCAAUGGGCGAAAGCCUGACGCAGCAACGCCGCGUGCGGGAUGAAGGCCUCGGUGUAACCGCUUCAGCAGGAGAAGCGAAAGUGACGGUACCUGCAGAAGAA
rnacentral:rRNA from 1 species